rnacentral:lncRNA from 1 species
GUACCCUAACAACCCCCGUUGUACCGCCUCGGCAACGUUAUCUCUGACAACAUUUGUGGAUGGGCCCGAGCCGAAUACUAAGAUAGGUACGAAAUAUACCAGCAUCACAGUUUUUGAGCCAAGGAAUGCUUCUAUUUUUUUUUUCAAUCACGAUCAAACCUACUCCCUCCGUUUCAAAAUAAGUGUCUCAACUUUUUAUAUCUAACAGAUGAGAAGAAAAAGGGAAGUUACAAAAAUAAGUCGGUUACAUCCUUUUCUUACUCUUAACUAAUGGGAGUGUAGAUAUUUAGCCUGAACCCUCAUCAAAGUUAUAGUUUUUCUGUCUAAAAAAUGUAGCUGGAUCCCUUGACAAAAUCCCUCUUUUUGAAGUUUAGGCUUUUCGGUGAGACCGGAUGAAACCUCUCAGUGGGACCGACCUCAGCUGGAAUAGGAGGCGCACGGUGGUACAACUGGCAAAGGCAGAAUUGCGAAGGCCGGCAAUCAGCAAUGCUGAAACAGGUGACCCCAGAUGCUUCGAGUGCGAGACGACAAUAAAUGAAGCUACGAUUGUGUUGGAAAUAUGCCCUAGAGGCAAUAAUAAAAUGGUUAUUAUUAUAUUUUCUUGUUCAUGAUAAUUGUCUAUUGUUCAUGCUAUAAUUGUAUUAACUAGAAACCGUAAUACAUAUGUGAAUACAUAGAUCGUAAUAUGUCCCUAGUAAGCCUCUAGUUGACUAGCUCGUUGAUCAAUAGAUGGUCACGGUUUCCUGACCAUGGACAUUGGAUGUCGUUGAUAACGGG